rnacentral:rRNA from 1 species
AGUGAACGCUGGCGGUAGGCCUAACACAUGCAAGUCGAACGGCAGCACAGUAAGAGCUUGCUCUUACGGGUGGCGAGUGGCGGACGGGUGAGGAAUACAUCGGAAUCUACUUUUUCGUGGGGGAUAACGUAGGGAAACUUACGCUAAUACCGCAUACGACCUACGGGUGAAAGCAGGGGAUCUUCGGACCUUGCGCGAUUGAAUGAGCCGAUGUCGGAUUAGCUAGUUGGCGGGGUAAAGGCCCACCAAGGCGACGAUCCGUAGCUGGUCUGAGAGGAUGAUCAGCCACACUGGAACUGAGACACGGUCCAGACUCCUACGGGAGGCAGCAGUGGGGAAUAUUGGACAAUGGGCGCAAGCCUGAUCCAGCCAGACCGCGUGGGUGAAGAAGGCCUUCGGGGUGUAAAGCCCUUUUGUUGGGAAAGAAAAGCAGCAGGUUAAUACCCCGCUGUUCUGACGGUACCCAAAGAAUAAGCACCGGCUAACUUCGUG